rnacentral:rRNA from 1 species
AUUNGAAGCAUGUUGUUUAAUUCGAUAACCCACGACAAAUCUUACCACUUCUUGUAUAUUAUUUAUCUUAAUAUAUUGAAAUUAUUAUAUUGUUUUUAUAUAAUAAAGAGUAUAUUAUUAAAAUAAUACAGGUGUUGCAUGGCUGUCUUUAGUUCGUGUUGUGAAAUGUUAGGUUAAUUCCGAUAACGAACGCAACCCUUAUUUUUAAUUAUAAAUUCUAAAAAUUGUGUAAUUUAAUUUAAAAAAAGAUCUUUCUAUAAGAAAGAGUAAUUAGGAUGAAGACAAGUCCUCAUGACCCUUAUGAAGUGGGCUACAGACGUGCCACAUAGAUUUCAACAAUAGGAUGCAAAGAUGAAAAUUAGAGCUAAUCCUUAAAUAAAAUCUUAGUUCGGAUAAGAGUCUGAAACUCGAUUCUUUGAANAAUUCCCA